rnacentral:rRNA from 1 species
GACGUAGGGCGCGAGCGUUGUCCGGAUUUCUUGGGCGUAAAGAGCUCGUAGGCGGCCUGUCGCGUCGGAUGUGAAAGCCCGGGGCUCAACCCCGGGUCUGCAUUCGAUACGGGCAGGCUGGAGUGUGGUAGGGGAGAUCGGAAUUCCUGGUGUAGCGGUGAAAUGCGCAGAUAUCAGGAGGAACACCGGUGGCGAAGGCGGAUCUCUGGGCCAUUACUGACGCUGAGGAGCGAAAGCGUGGGGAGCGAACAGG